GUUUACCUGGUUAGACAUUUUUUAUAAAUAGACUUAUACAGAGAAGAUUAGCGUGGCCCCUGUCCAAGAUGGCACGCAAAUUCCUGAAUACAACUGUAAAAGA